UGCAAAACAGCUCAGCUGGUCAGAGCGUGGUGCUGAUCAUGCCCAGGUCGCAGGUUCGAUCCCUGUUAUUCCUGCAU